rnacentral:rRNA from 1 species
ACGAUUACCUUGAGAAAAAUAGAGUGUCUAAAGCAGGCGAAUGCUUGAAUACCGUAGCAUGGAAUAAUAGAAUAGGACAUUGGUUCUAUUUUGUUGGUUUUCAGGACCAGGGUCAUGAUGAAUAGGGACAGUUGGGGGCAUUAGUAUUCGGUAGUCAGAGGUGAAAUUCUUGGAUUUACUGAAGACUAACUAGUGCGAAAGCAUUUGCCAAGGAUGUUUUCAUUGAUCAAGAACGAAAGUUAGGGGAUCGAAGACGAUUAGAUACCGUCGUAGUCUUAACCAUAAACGAUGCCGACUAGGGAUCGGCGGGUGUCAGCAUUGACUCCGUCGGCACCUUGCGAGAAAUCAAAGUUUUUGGGUUCUGGGGGGAGUGUGGUCGCAAGGCUGAAACUUGAAGGAAUUGACGGAAGGGCACCACCAGGAUUGGAUUCUGCGGCUUAAUUUGACUCAACACGGGAAAACUCACCAGGUCCGGACAUAG